AAGUUUUAUUUCAGCUUUUUACUUAAAUAUAUUUUGUACUUACAUGUAAGUUUAAGCGUGAUUGACAAUAGGUUUUAAAUAGAUUUGAUAGUUAAAAGUUCACAGUAAAUAGAUUUAAGUAUUCAGGAGACUGAGAUUUAGAUAUAAGUUUUAGUACUAGCAAAGUUUGUGCCAGCAGCUGCGGUUAGACUUACAGUGCAAUUUAAGUUGUUCGGUUAUAAUUAAUGGUUAAUAUGGGAAUUUGAAUUUGAGCUUAUAAGGUGAAAUUUUAAGUUUGAUUGGGGUUUAGAGCUUGAUUAUGAGGUUGCCAAAUUUAGUUUAUAAACUAGGAUUAGAUACCCUAUUAUUCUAAAUGCUAGGUUUAAUGCUUGGUCAGUAGUAGUUAUGUUCUUGAAAAUUAAAAGAUUUGGCGGUAUCUUAGUCUAUUCAGAGGAACCUGUCCUAUAAUUGAUGGUCCACGAUAUAUUUUACUUGUUUUAUAGGUUUGCAUAUCGCCGUAGUUUGAAUAUUUUAUAAGAAAAAUUAAUGUUCAAGAUUUUAAUAGAAAGGAAAUCAGGUCAAGGUGCAGCGGAUAGAUAAGGAGAGAUGGGUUACAAUAAAUGUAUUUAGAUGGAUUAGGGCAUUAAAGUGUUUUAUGAAGGUGGAUUUGAGGGUAAUUUUAAUUAAUUAAUUAAUGUGAUUAAAGCUCUAGGGUAUGCACAUAUCGCCCGUCGCUUUCAUUCCAAGGUGAAAUAAGUCGUAACACAGUAGGUGUACUGGAAAGUGCACCUGG
rnacentral:ncRNA from 1 species